rnacentral:rRNA from 1 species
AUUAGAGUUUGAUCAUGGCUCAAAUUGAACGCUGGCGGAAUGCUUUACACAUGCAAGUCGAACGGCAGCACGGGGGCAACCCUGGUGGCGAGUGGCGAACGGGUGAGUAAUACAUCGGAACGUGCCCAAUCGUGGGGGAUAACUACGCGAAAGCGUAGCUAAUACCGCAUACGAUCUACGGAUGAAAGCGGGGGAUCGCAAGACCUCGCGCGAAUGGAGCGGCCGAUGGCAGAUUAGGUAGUUGGUGGGGUAAAGGCUCACCAAGCCGUCGAUCUGUAGCUGGUCUGAGAGGACGACCAGCCACACUGGGACUGAGACACGGCCCAGACUCCUACGGGAGGCAGCAGUGGGGAAUUUUGGACAAUGGGCGCAAGCCUGAUCCAGCCAUUCCGCGUGCAGGAUGAAGGCCCUCGGGUUGUAAACUGCUUUUGUACGGAACGAAAAGCGCUGAGUUAAUACCUCGGCGUCAUGACGGUACCGUAAGAAUAAGCACCGGCUAACUACGUGCCAGCAGCCGCGGUAAUACGUAGGGUGCAAGCGUUAAUCGGAAUUACUGGGCGUAAAGCGUGCGCAGGCGGUGAUGUAAGACAGAUGUGAAAUCCCCGGGCUCAACCUGGGAACUGCAUUUGUGACUGCAUCGCUGGAGUGCGGCAGAGGGGGAUGGAAUUCCGCGUGUAGCAGUGAAAUGCGUAGAUAUGCGGAGGAACACCGAUGGCGAAGGCAAUCCCCUGGGCCUGCACUGACGCUCAUGCACGAAAGCGUGGGGAGCAAACAGGAUUAGAUACCCUGGUAGUCCACGCCCUAAACGAUGUCAACUGGUUGUUGGGUCUUCACUGACUCAGUAACGAAGCUAACGCGUGAAGUUGACC